AGGGCGCAUGGAGGAUGCCUAGGCUCUCGGAGGCGAAGAAGGACGUGAUAAGCUGCGAAAAGUUACGGUAAGGCGCAAAUAGCCCUAGACCCGUAAAUAUCCGAAUGGGGCAACCCGGCCAGCAAUGGUCAUACCGCCAAGCGGUAAGCCAACGCGGGGAACUGAAACAUCUAAGUACCCGCAGGAAAAGAAAAUAACAAUGAUUCCGCCAGUAGUGGCGAGCGAACGCGGAACAGCCCAAACCACUCGUGUUACGGCACGAGUGGGGUAGAAGGAUCCACGAUACGGCAAGAAAUAAGUUAGCAGAAUACGAUGGAAAUCGUAGCCAAAGACGGUGACAGCCCAGUACGCGAAAACCGACAGAAGCCCAGUGGACACCUGAGUAACCCAGGACACGAGAAAUCCGGGGCGAAUCAGCGGGGCCCAUCCCGUAAGGCUAAAUACUCCCGAGAGACCGAUAGCGAACCAGUACUGUGAAGGAAAGGUGAAAAGAACCUCGAACAGAGGAGUGAAAGAGACCCUGAAACCAUGCGCCUACAAGCGGUCGGAGCAUGUUAAAAUGUGACGGCGUGCCUUUUGCAUAAUGAACCUACGAGUUACUCUCGCUGGCAAGGUUAAGCGAUUCAGUCGCGCAGCCGAAGCGAAAGCAAGUCCGAAUAAGGCGUACAGUCAGCGGGAGUAGACGCGAAACCAAGUGAUCUACCCUUGGUCAGGUUGAAGGUUGGGUAACACCAACUGGAGGACCGCACCGAUAAGCGUUGAAAAGCUUACGGAUGAACUGAGGGUAGGAGUGAAAGGCCAAUCAAACUUGGAGAUAGCUCGUACUCCCCGAAAUGCAUUUAGGUGCAGCCUCGAAGUAAAGUGAUAGAGGUAGAGCGACUGAUAAGAUGCGAGGGCUUCACCGCCUAUCAAGUCUUGACAAACUCCGAAUACUAUCACUUGAUCUUUGGGAGUGAGGGCAUGGGUGCUAAGGUCCAUGUCCGAAAGAGGAACAACUCAGACCACCAGCUAAGGUCCCGAAAUAAGGGCUAAGUUGAAUAAACGAAGUAAAACUGCAAAGACAGCUAGGAUGUUGGCUUGGAAGCAGCCAUUCAUUUAAAGAGUGCGUAACAGCUCACUAGUCGAGGAGUUUUGCAUGGAUAAUAAUCGGGCAUAAGCCCUUUACCGAAGCUGUGGAUGUCGUAAGACAUGGUAGGGGAGCAUUCCGGCGGCGACGAAGGCCGUCCUCGAGGACGACUGGAGCUUUCGGAAAAGCAAAUGUAGGUAUAAGUAACGAUAAAGGGGGCGUGAAACCCCCUCGCCAUAAGACUAAGGAUUCCUGAUCAACGCUAAUCGGAUCAGGGUAAGUCGGGCCCUAAGGCGCAGCCGAACGGCGUAGCCGAUGGAAGAAACGGUAAAGAUUCCGUUACUGGAUAUAGGAGCGAUGUGGAGACGGAGAAGUGACACACCCGCCUGCCGACGGAAGCGCAGGUUAAAGGAAGUAGGUAAACGCCGGGUAGGCAAAUCCGCCUGGCGUGCCGAAGCUGACAGUAUCGAGAGCCCCCGGGCAAUCGAAUAGCGGUGGUAAUCAGGCUCCCAAGAAAAUCCGCUAAGCAUAUUCUAUAUUCACCCGUACCCCAAACGGACACACGUAGUCGGGUAGAAUAUACCAAGGCGCUCGAAAGACUCACGGUUAAGGAACUAGGCAAAUUGACCCUGUAACCUCGGGAAAAAGGGUCCCCAGUAAGAUGGGGCGCAGAGAAUAGGUCCAGGCAACUGUUUAACAAAAACACAGGGCUGUGCGAAAUUUCAAGAUGAAGUAUACAGCCUGACACCUGCCCGGUGCCGGAAGGUUAAGAGGAGAGCUAAUCGCAAGAGAAGGCUUGAAUUGAAGCCCCGGUAAACGGCGGCCGUAACUAUAACGGUCCUAAGGUAGCGAAAUUCCUUGUCGGGUAAGUUCCGACCUGCACGAAUGGUGUAAUGAUCUGGACACUGUCUCAACCGUGACUUCGGUGAAAUUGUAGUAUCGGUGAAGAUGCCGAUUACCCGCAACGGGACGAAAAGACCCCGUGAACCUUUACUGCAACUUAGCAUUGCGUUUGGGCAUUUGAUGUGUAGGAUAGUCCGGAGGCUACGAGCCGGCGACGCCAGUCGUCGGGGAGCCGUUGUUGAAAUACGGACCUUCGAAUGUUUGAGCGCUAACUCGCAGGAGCGAGGACACUGUUUGGUGGGUAGUUUGACUGGGGU
rnacentral:rRNA from 1 species